UGGGGAAUAUUGGGCAAUGGGCGCAAGCCUGACCCAGCAACGCCGCGUGAAGGAAGAAGGCUUUCGGGUUGUAAACUUCUUUCUCAGGGACGAAGCAAGUGACGGUACCUGAGGAAUAAGCCACGGCUAACUACGUGCCAGCAGCCGCGGUAAUACGUAGGUGGCAAGCGUUAUCCGGAUUUACUGGGUGUAAAGGGCGUGUAGGCGGGACUGCAAGUCAGAUGUGAAAACCAUGGGCUCAACCUGUGGCCUGCAUUUGAAACUGUAGUUCUUGAGUACUGGAGAGGCAGACGGAAUUCCUAGUGUAGCGGUGAAAUGCGUAGAUAUUAGGAGGAACACCAGUGGCGAAGGCGGUCUGCUGGACAGCAACUGACGCUGAGGCGCGAAAGCGUGGGGAGCAAACAGGAUUAGAUACCC
rnacentral:rRNA from 1 species